AAACACAGAACACAAAGGUCAGAGAGCAGAUCCCUGAGCUUUCAUCGGACCGCCAGCUGACCGGAUUGUACUCACCUCCCAGGAUUGUCUCCAGAACCUCCAGGACCGGUUGGGACGCUGCCCGAUGAAGAGGAAGCCAACCAUGGCUAUCUGACUCCCUGAAGGCGAAGACUCCGACUGGCUGCCAGCGUCAUGAUACAUACUGAUCCUCAUGUGCAGCUGCAACUUCUCUUUAGCUUUAAGUUCUUAAC